rnacentral:rRNA from 1 species
AUUGAACGCUGUCGGCAGGCCUAACACAUGCAAGUCGAGCGAGCGGCGGACGGGUGAGUAAUGUCUGGGAAACUGCCUGAUGGAGGGGGAUAACUACUGGAAACGGUAGCUAAUACCGCAUACCAUCAGAUGUGCCCAGAUGGGAUUAGCUAGUAGGUGGGGUAACGGCUAACCUAGGCGACGAUCCCUAGCUGGUCUGAUAGGAUGACCAGACCCACUGGAACGGAGACACGGUCCCGCCUACUACGGGAGGCAGCAGUGGGGAUUAUGGCACAAGGGGCGCAAGCCUGAUGCAGCCAUGCCGAGUGUGUGAAGAAGGCCUUCGGGUUGUAAAGCACUUUCAGCGGGGAGGCGUUACCCGCAGAAGAAGCACCGGCUAACUCCGUGCCAGCCGCCGCGGUAAUAC